rnacentral:rRNA from 1 species
AUUGAACGCUGGCGGCAUGCCUUACACAUGCAAGUCGAACGGCAGCACGGGUGCUUGCCCCUGGUGGCGAGUGGCGAACGGGUGAGUAAUACAUCGGUACAUGUCCUUUAGUGGGGGGUAGCCCGGCGAAAGCCGGAUUAAUACCGCAUACGAUCUGCGUAUGACAGCGGGGGGCCUUCGGGCCUCGCGCUAUAGGGUUGGCCGAUAGCGGAUUGGCUAGUUGGUGGGGUAAAGGCCUACAAAGGCGACGAUCAGUGGCUGGUGUGAGAGGACGACCAGCCACACUGGGACUGAGACACGGCCCAGACUCCUACGGGAGGCAGCAGUGGGGAAUGUUGGACAACGGGCGAAAGCCUGAUCCAGCAAUGCCGCGUGUGUGAAGAAGGCCUUCGGGUUGUAAAGCACUUCUGUCCGGAGAGAAAUCCUUGGCUCUAAUACAGUCGGGGGAUGACGGUACCGGAAGAAUAAGCACCGGCUAACUACGUG